rnacentral:tRNA from 1 species
GAAGAGGUGGCUGAGUGGUUUAAAGCGGUAGACUGUAAAUCUAUUUAUGACAAUAAUCGUAGGUUCGAAUCCUACUCUCUUCC